rnacentral:lncRNA from 1 species
UAUCAUCGCUUGCUUUAUUUUUGUCCUUUCUUGCAUUUCAAGUAGAUUAGUUAUCAAACCUUGCUUGAUCAUCUUGACUUAAGAUUACAAGUAACAUAGAUUAGUGCUUCUCCACAAGUUUGGUUUGAUAACCCCUUGUACUACAAGACAUGGGAUUGAUACCUCUAUAAAGAGCCUCAAAAACUCUUAGUUAUCACCACCAUUUCCAAACAUGGACUCCAUCCUACAAACAAAAUGUCUAUUAUCUCAACAUCCUAAUCUGAAACUACCACAAGCUUUAACAAUCAUUUUUGCCAACUCACUGAACUGUUCGAGCAUGUGUAGAAGCGCCUUCCAGGAUUAGUGGUUGUGUGAGAAGUAACAAGCACCACCGUAGCAGCUCCGCAAAAGCACCUCGAUGGAAUACCGUGAAAACCAUGAUGCCGAACCCUUGAGCUGAUGCUUGAACUCGAUGAAUCAUUAUUCUGACUGAGUGUCAUCUUCCCUGUUACAAAAUCAGAACUUCAUCAACCCAGAUUAUCAACCCACUAUGAUAUGAUAUUGAAAAAGCUCAUGAAGACAUAUCUGCCUUGUUCUACACUGAUUGGGUCCAAGAUCAACUCACACAGCUCAAAGACCACUUGGAAUACAUUCUCACCUCAUCUGGAGCCCGUCUCGAAAAAGAAUCAGUCCAAUCCGAGUUCAGAUGAAGAAGUUAUUGAGUUUUCCAAUCAGGUAAACUCGAGGUUAUUCAAUUUGGACCUACGCGCGUUCAAUGGAGGAUUCCGACCAAUCCAAAAUGAAAUAUUUUAUGAUCCGACUUGUUCUGGAAUCUUGAUUCAUCAC